ensembl:lncRNA
UGGAGAGAUGGCUCAGAGGUUAAGAGCACUGACUGCUCUUCCAGAGGUCCUGAGUUCAAUUCCCAGCAACCACAUGGUGGCUCACAACCAUCUUAUAAGAUCUGGUGCCCUCUUCUGGUGUGCAGAUAUACAUGGAAGCAGAAUGUUCCAGAUAUACAUGGAAGCAGAAUGUUGUAUACAUAAUAAAUAAAUAAAAUCUUUAUUUAAAAAAAAGAAUGCAAAUGCAGUUGGUGAUGUCUCUCUAGAGAUGGCUCGGUGGUUAAGAGCACUGACUGUUCUCCCAGAGGACCCUGGUUCAAUUCCCAGAACACAUAUGCAGCUCACAACUGUCUAUAACUCCAGUUCCAAAGAAUACAUGUAUAGGCAAAACACCAAUGCAUCUAAAGGUAAAUAAAUCAUUAAAAUGGGGGCGGGGCUAGGGAGGAGGUUCAGUUGGAAGAGGGGUUACUAAGCAUACACAAAGCCCUAGGCUCCACCCCCCAGCACUAUAUAACCAGGCCACUCCAGCAAUCCUACUCCCCCAGUACUGUAUAACCAGGUGUGGCAGGCCAUUCCAGCAAUCGUAGCACUCUGGAGGUAGAAGCAGGGAGAUCGAGAUCAUAUUCAGCUACAUAGUAACUUUCAGGCUAGCCUAAACUACAUGAAAUCCUGGUGACAACUCCAGGUGCUAUCCAGCCGAAAUGCCUGAAUAGUCACAUCUCUCCCCUAAGCCCACUAUCACCUGGCCCCAGGUCACUCAGGGCCCCAUCUUUUUCCUCCUUGGCUUCACCACGAGUACAGAGCCACAUCUGAUCACCUACACUGCCACUCGGAGCUCCCAGGGCAAGGCAGUUACUUUCUUAAUGUCCCUUCGUUUCUGCCUCGGUAUAACUAGAAAUACUAAAUGACUAACACACAGAUGGUCCCUGGAAAGAUUAGUGGUCCUCCUCUCCCAUGUGAACUGAACGACCCAUUCCUUCCUACUGCAAGGCCACCUGAAGAGCAGGUUGUGACCUUAAAGUCCUGGCUUCUUGACUUUAUUAUUAGAAUCUUACGCAGGUGACUCAGCCUCUCCCCCGAGGACCAGUUGGAAAGCUCAACUCUAGCCACCUGAGUCAAAGGUCACCAGAGACUUGAGCAAACUCUGUCACCUCAGAUGACUCUCCACCCCAACUAGCUCUCUGCCAGGUCAGGUGACCCAAAUCCUAAAGUGAAACUGAUACGGAGCAAGAACUUCCACCCUGUGCUGACAGUGCCUGGACUGUGGCUCUCUCCUGCCAUGUCUGCCCCCAUUUUUAGACACAGGCUGAUCAUAUUUGGUUCACACUCUGACCCUUGAGAGGGAAAGUACAGAAAGUUGAAAGACAGACGAGGAGUGUCCUGAAGGUUUUGGCAGGGGGGAAUAGACGUUUUCCAUGCUUGGGCUGAGAGGUAGCUCAGCAGCUAAGAGAGCUCAUACUGCUCUAGCAGAGAACCAGUGUUCAGUUUCCAGCACCCUUAUAGGGCAGCUCAUUGCCUGUAUCUCCAGCUCCAGGGGAUCUGAGGUUCCUGGCCUCCAUGAGUACCUGCUUGCCGAUGCACAUACACACAGACUAAAAGUCAGUGGUAGGGUGGUUCCCUAGCAACCCCCCUCCAAAAAAACCCCACUAUUACACUUCUUUCUUUUCUUUUUUUUUUUUUUUUUUUUUUUUUUGGUUUUUUGAGACAGG